rnacentral:rRNA from 1 species
UACAGAGGUCUCAAGCGUUGUUCGGAUUCAUUGGGCGUAAAGGGUGCGUAGGCGGCGCGGUAAGUCGGGUGUGAAAUCUCGGAGCUUAACUCCGAAACUGCCUUUGAUACUGAUGAGCUUGAGUCCGGGGAGAGGUGAGUGGAACUGCGAGUGUAGAGGUGAAAUUCGUAGAUAUUCGCAAGAACACCAGUGGCGAAGGCGACGCUGCC